rnacentral:lncRNA from 1 species
AGUUUUUCUGGAACACUGUCUCUGAGAGCCCUGAUCAACCAUGUAAGGAGGUAGAUUGCCCUCAGACCUGAAGAUGACAUGUGAAGGACCUCUAGAAAACCGUCCCAGCUGAGCCCUUUUUUCCAGCCUCCCUACCAAGGCAGAAAAGUGAAAGGUGAGAGGAUAAAAAGAAAAAUGAAUAAAGAGCUUAAAGAAAGAUAAUUCAAGGAAAGAAGAAUGGCAGACAGUUAAGAAGAGGAAGACCUGAGCUUUGGAACAUUCUGAACCAUAACAGUUCAGCUGCAACUGCAGCCACAGUUGUGUCAUACAGUGUUCCCAAGACAAAUCUUGCAGAUGCAAGAGAACCUUGUUAAAAUCAGGAAGACUCCAUUUCCCAGGACAGUCCUCAUUUCAUCUCGAUGACCAAUGAGAUAGAUGUUUCUGGGCAUCAGGAAACCGAGGCAAGUCACAGAGUUAUUCCACAAUUCCUUUUAUUCUCUACCUCAGGGAUUGUUAAGCAACAUUAAGGUACAGUCCACGGGCUUUUCAGCCCCUUGCCACAGGUAGGAAUACUUGGCAAGUCUGAUCAGUUUAGGACGCUAUGGCCUCCUCUCACUCACAACUGCUGUGGCCCACUUGGCCUUGGAGAUGCAUGCUCAGAGGGAUUCUCCCAUUACCACGUGCAAGCUCACUGGGCAAGCAUGGCUCAUUGCCUGAAGGAGAUCAUGUUUGCACCACUUAAACAUGUGAGAUCUAAAUGGUGCAAACAUGCAAUUAUUUUUCUGUGACUUUAUGUCCCAGACACCCAACAAGCAAGGCUCUCUAUUCUCUAAUAGUAACUUUAAAAACGCAGUCAGAUUUUGGAAAAAGGGAGCUAUCACAGGAAUGUGGUUCUUUUAUAUGCCUUAUUUUAAAACGUAAUAUAUGUAAUUAUCUUCUCGG